CGAAUGCUGACAUAAGUAACGAUAAAGCGGGUGAAAAGCCCGCUCGCCGGAAGACCAAGGGUUCCUGUCCAACGUUAAUCGGGGCAGGGUGAGUCGACCCCUAAGGCGAGGCCGAAAGGCGUAGUCGAUGGGAAACAGGUUAAUAUUCCUGUACUUGGUGUUACUGCGAAGGGGGGACGGAGAAGGCUAUGUUGGCCGGGCGACGGUUGUCCCGGUUUAAGCGUGUAGGCUGGUUUUCCAGGCAAAUCCGGAAAAUCAAGGCUGAGGCGUGAUGACGAGGCACUACGGUGCUGAAGCAACAAAUGCCCUGCUUCCAGGAAAAGCCUCUAAGCAUCAGGUAACAUCAAAUCGUACCCCAAACCGACACAGGUGGUCAGGUAGAGAAUACCAAGGCGCUUGAGAGAACUCGGGUGAAGGAACUAGGCAAAAUGGUGCCGUAACUUCGGGAGAAGGCACGCUGAUAUGUAGGUGAGGUCCCUCGCGGAUGGAGCUGAAAUCAGUCGAAGAUACCAGCUGGCUGCAACUGUUUAUUAAAAACACAGCACUGUGCAAACACGAAAGUGGACGUAUACGGUGUGACGCCUGCCCGGUGCCGGAAGGUUAAUUGAUGGGGUUAGCGCAAGCGAAGCUCUUGAUCGAAGCCCCGGUAAACGGCGGCCGUAACUAUAACGGUCCUAAGGUAGCGAAAUUCCUUGUCGGGUAAGUUCCGACCUGCACGAAUGGCGUAAUGAUGGCCAGGCUGUCUCCACCCGAGACUCAGUGAAAUUGAACUCGCUGUGAAGAUGCAGUGUACCCGCGGCAAGACGGAAAGACCCCGUGAACCUUUACUAUAGCUUGACACUGAACAUUGAGCCUUGAUGUGUAGGAUAGGUGGGAGGCUUAGAAGUGUGGACGCCAGUCUGCAUGGAGCCGACCUUGAAAUACCACCCUUUAAUGUUUGAUGUUCUAACGUUGACCCGUAAUCCGGGUUGCGGACAGUGUCUGGUGGGUAGUUUGACUGGGGCGGUCUCCUCCUAAAGAGUAACGGAGGAGCACGAAGGUUGGCUAAUCCUGGUCGGACAUCAGGAGGUUAGUGCAAUGGCAUAAGCCAGCUUGACUGCGAGCGUGACGGCGCGAGCAGGUGCGAAAGCAGGUCAUAGUGAUCCGGUGGUUCUGAAUGGAAGGGCCAUCGCUCAACGGAUAAAAGGUACUCCGGGGAUAACAGGCUGAUACCGCCCAAGAGUUCAUAUCGACGGCGGUGUUUGGCACCUCGAUGUCGGCUCAUCACAUCCUGGGGCUGAAGUAGGUCCCAAGGGUAUGGCUGUUCGCCAUUUAAAGUGGUACGCGAGCUGGGUUUAGAACGUCGUGAGACAGUUCGGUCCCUAUCUGCCGUGGGCGCUGGAGAACUGAGGGGGGCUGCUCCUAGUACGAGAGGACCGGAGUGGACGCAUCACUGGUGUUCGGGUUGUCAUGCCAAUGGCACUGCCCGGUAGCUAAAUGCGGAAGAGAUAAGUGCUGAAAGCAUCUAAGCACGAAACUUGCCCCGAGAUGAGUUCUCCCUGACUCCUUGAGAGUCCUGAAGGAACGUUGAAGACGACGACGUUGAUAGGCCGGGUGUGUAAGCGCAGCGAUGCGUUGAGCUAACCGGUACUAAUGAACCGUGAGGCUUAACCUUACAACGCCGAAGGUGUUU
rnacentral:rRNA from 1 species